rnacentral:tRNA from 1 species
CGCGGGGUAGAGGAGUCCGGUCGUCCUCGCAAGCCCCAUAAGCUUGAGAUCGCAGGUUCAAAUCCUGCCCCCGCUACCA